GACACGGUGGCUUAGUGGUUAGCACGUUUGUCGUGCACUGCAAGAGCUGAGGGUUCGACUCCCUCCUCUGCCC